rnacentral:rRNA from 1 species
GACGAACGCUGGCGGCGUGCUUAACACAUGCAAGUCGAACGGAAAGGCCCUGCUUUUGUGGGGUGCUCGAGUGGCGAACGGGUGAGUAACACGUGAGUAACCUGCCCUUGACUUUGGGAUAACUUCAGGAAACUGGGGCUAAUACCGGAUAGGAGCUCCUGCUGCAUUGUGUGGGUUGGAAAGUUUCGGCGGUUGGGGAUGGACUCGCGGCCUAUCAGCUUGUUGGUGGGGUAGUGGCUUACCAAGUCUUUGACGGGUACGCGGCCGGGGAGGGUGACCGGCCACAUUGGGACUGAGAUACGGCCCAGACUCCUACGGGAGGCAGCAGUGGGGAAUAUUGCACAAUGGGCGGAAGCCUGAUGCAGCAACGCCGCGUGCGGGAUGACGGCCUUCGGGUUGUAAACCGCUUUCGCCUGUGACGAAGCGUGAGUGACGGUAAUGGGUAAAGAAGCACCGGCUAACUACGUG